rnacentral:rRNA from 1 species
UACGUAGGUGGCAAGCGUUGUCCGGAUUUAUUGGGUUUAAAGGGUGCGUAGGCGGUUCUAUAAGUCAGUGGUGAAAUCCGGCAGCUCAACUGUCGAUGUGCCAUUGAUACUGCAGAACUUGAGUACAGACGAGGUAGGCGGAAUUGACGGUGUAGCGGUGAAAUGCAUAGAUAUCGGGAGGAACACCAAUUGCGAAGGCAGCUUGCUGGGACGAUACUGACGCUGAGGCGCGAAAGCGUGGGUAGCAAACAGG